rnacentral:rRNA from 1 species
AUUGAACGCUGGCGGAAUGCUUUACACAUGCAAGUCGAGCGGCAGCGCGGGGCAACCUGGCGGCGAGCGGCGAACGGGUGAGUAACAUAUCGGAACGUACCCAGUCGUGGGGGAUAACUAUCCGAGAGGAUAGCUAAUACCGCAUACGACCUGAGGGUGAAAGCGGGGGACCGAAAGGCCUCGCGCGAUUGGAGCGGCCGAUAUCGGAUUAGCUAGUUGGUGAGGUAAAGGCUCACCAAGGCGACGAUCCGUAGCUGGUCUGAGAGGACGACCAGCCACACUGGAACUGAGACACGGUCCAGACUCCUACGGGAGGCAGCAGUGGGGAAUUUUGGACAAUGGGGGCAACCCUGAUCCAGCCAUUCCGCGUGAGUGAAGAAGGCCUCGGUUGUAAAGCUCUUCGGUCAGGAACGAAACGGUAGGUCCCGUAAUACGGGCGUACUAAUGACGGUACCGUGAAGAAGAAGACACCGGCUAACUACGUAGCCAGCAGCCGCGGUAA